CAAUAGCGUAUAUUUAAGUUGUUGCAGUUAAAAAGCUCGUAGUUGGAUUUCGGGUGGGACGCAGCGUUCUCGCAUUGCGUUUGUACUGCUGCAGCCCUCCUUCUUGCCGGGGGCGGCCUCUCGGACUUCACUGUCUGGGGGUCAGAAUCGGCGAUGUUACUUUGAGUAAAUUAGAGUGUUCAAAGCAAGCUUACGCUCUGAAUAUAAUAGCAUGGGAUAACACGACAGGACUCUGGCCUAUCGUGUUGGUCUAUAGGACCAGAGUAAUGAUUAAGAGGGACAGUCGGGGGCAUUCGUAUUCCGUUGUCAGAGGUGAAAUUCUUGGAUUUACGGAAGACGAACAUCUGCGAAAGCAUUUGCCAAGGAUGUUUUCAUUGA
rnacentral:rRNA from 1 species